UGUCGAAAAAUAUAAAAGAAAAAGAAAUCAAUUUUUAUCUUUUUCAAAGAAAUUAAUCAUAAGUUGUAUUUAAUUUAUCUCUAUCACUUCUUUUAUAACUGACCAACAAUUAGACAUUUAUUUAAAGAAAAGUUAUAUUUCCGGUUACGUGAUUCAAUAUUAUCAAUCGUCGUCGACACCGGCGUAAUCUGACAUGCGGAGGUUUCACCGGAAAAAACUCAGGUAAAAACACUGCACUAAAAUGUAGUGUCACUCGCCGAAAUACCAGAGCAAGCACGUGGGAACGACGAUCGAGUAGUCGCAUCAACUAUCACAGGUUAACAGCAAUAAAGCCACCGCAGAUCGUGGUUGCACAGUUGCACCACCGCACCGGGACUCUCAAGGUUGGUUUAAUUAAUUUACCUGAUUGAUUGUUAGUGUCAGCUGGACGAUCACCUGUAGGUUGAAGACCCCAACAGCAACAGUUCCCCAUAUAGUUGUUUGUUUUCCUCUUCCUUGAACAAACAAAGCUAUUGCUAGCUCAUGCUAGCAGAAAAGUAGAGAGAGAGAAAUGCUGUAAGGUCUAUCUGAAGUGAUUUUAUACUAUUGUAUUAUAAUAAUACAAUAAUGAUAGUGAAAAGAGUGCCCACAAGUGAGAACACGGAAUUGUACUUGUAGGUGAAGCUAACAAAGAAGUUUCCUAGAACACUCCCAGUAAAAUGUAAUUCUAAACACGCGCACUUUUUAGUGUUAUCAUCCCUUUUUUGGCUUCUUUA